rnacentral:rRNA from 1 species
GAUGAACGCUGGCGGCGUGCCUAAUACAUGCAAGUCGAGCGAACAGACGAGGAGCUUGCUCCUCUGACGUUAGCGGCGGACGGGCGAGUAACACGUGGAUAACCUACCUAUAAGACUGGGAUAACUUCGGGAAACCGGAGCUAAUACCGGAUAAUAUAUUGAACCGCAUGGUUCAAUAGUGAAAGACGGUUUUGCUGUCACUUAUAGAUGGAUCCGCGCCGCAUUAGCUAGUUGGUAAGGUAACGGCUUACCAAGGCAACGAUGCGUAGCCGACCUGAGAGGGUGAUCGGCCACACUGGAACUGAGACACGGUCCAGACUCCUACGGGAGGCACCAGUAGGGAAUCUUCCGCAAUGGGCGAAAGCCUGACGGAGCAACGCCGCGUGAGUGAUGAAGGUCUUCGGAUCGUAAAACUCUGUUAUUAGGGAAGAACAAAUGUGUAAGUAACUAUGCACGUCUUGACGGUACCUAAUCAGAAAGCCACGGCUAACUACGUG